AUGAAUAUGUUUGCUUGUUUAAUAGUAGUAGAGACUCCGGUCGCAGACCCCGAUCCAGAGUUGUCUCUCGCUUGGACUGCGAUCGGAAGCCUCGAUGGCCGGCUGCUGGUCGUCGGCCCUGGCUGCUCGAGGGCGUACGAGUGCGCCGACUUCCCGUCCGGCUGUGUCGAGGAGGGCGUAUAUUUCCUCGACGACCGCACGUACUACAACGAGACCUACUACGAGCCAUUCUUCCCCAUGCAGAGUAACCCCGGCGAGUUUGCCUGCGCCGACAAUGGAAGGUGCUGCCUGCUGCCCGCUCGUCCCGAACACUGCUUCCCCAUGAAGCCGGGAGAAGGCUCCUUCUCAGCUUACUCGCCGCCGGAGCCCUCCCGUCGACAAGAGCCGAGAUCCACGCUUCCGUGGCUUGAUACCAUGGAAGACAAAGCGAUCCACGGCUGCACCAGCGGGAGGUCUCGGUUCCUGGUCACUCUCGCGCGAGCGCACUGA
rnacentral:rRNA from 1 species